CAGUAGCCGCGGGAAUACGUAGGGUGCGAGCGUUAAUCGGAAUUACUGGGCGUAAAGCGCACGUAGGCGGCUUGGUAAGACAGAUGUGAAAUCCCCGGGCUUAACCUGGGAACUGCAUUUGUGACUGGCCGGCUAGAGUAUGGCAGAGGGAGGUGGAAUUCCACGUGUAGCAGUGAAAUGCGUAGAUAUGUGGAGGAACACCGAUGGCGAAGGCAGCCUCCUGGGCCAAUACUGACGCUCAUGCACGAAAGCGUGGGGAGCAAACAGGAUUAGAUACCCCAGUAGUCCCUGUCUCUUAUAC
rnacentral:rRNA from 1 species